rnacentral:RNase_P_RNA from 1 species
AGAGUGGGUCGGGCGGUCGCCCCGCACCUAUUUGGCUUAAUGUCGAACCAAGAGUGUCUGAGGAAAAAGGUGAGAGAUAUCGCAGCAAUUGUGGUUGCAGACAAUGAACCAAAUAGGUGCGGGGAGGAAAGUCCGAGCAGGACAGGGCACGGUGGUGGUUAACGGCCACCCGAGGCAACUCGCGGGAAAGUGCCACAGAAACGACACAGCCGAUGGCCUCGAUUCGUCGGGACACAGGCAAAGGUGAAAUGGUGCGGUAAGAGCGCACCGCGGCACCGGUGACGGUGUCGGCAGGGUAAACCCCACCGCCUGCAAGACCAAGCAGCUGGUACUCGGCCCGGGUAUUAACAGCAGGUAGGUCGCUUCCCGCACCUACUUUGAGAUGCUAACGUUGACCCGACAGAUGAAACUUGAUUGUUGUUCGAAGCACAAAAGCGGGGAUUUGCGUUGGAAUCUCAAAGUAGGUGCGGGGGAGCCAACUGGUAACAGUUGGUCAAGAUAAAUGGCCGCCGCCCGUCAGUUGUGACGGCGUACAGAACUCGGCUUAUAGACCCACUCUUAUU